rnacentral:lncRNA from 1 species
GUUCACCAAAGAAUAAGCUACCACAUUGGCUUCGUGAAGCAGUGAAUACUCCAGCAAAACCUCCUGAACCGGAUUUACCACCAACUGUCUCUGCAAUUGCUCAAUCAGUUCGCUUGCUAUAUGGGGAGGGGAAGCCUGCCCUCCCUCCAUUUGUUAUUCCUUCUCCACCUCCAUCUCGACCCAGGGACCCAUGGCUGAGCUUGAAAAAGAAGCCCGCCCUCCCUCCAUUUGUUAUUCCUUCUCCACCUCCAUCUCGACCCAGGGACCCACGGCUGAGCUUGAAAAAGAAAAAGAAGAAGAAACACGGACUGCAAGUGAUGAGGCAGUUCCAGAAAGAUUUUGCAGGAGCUAGUGACGUCCAGGGUAGCUUACAUGGUGAGGGUAU